GUGUCAGCCGCCGCGGUAAUACGAAUGGGGCAAGCGUUGUUCGGAUUUACUGGGCGUAAAGCGGGCGUAGGCGGCCGGCUAAGUCGGAUGUGAAAUCCCGGGGCUCAACUCCGGAACUGCAUUCGAUACUGGUCGGCUAGAGUUCGAGAGGGGGAUGCGGAAUUCCGCGUGUAGCGGUGAAAUGCGUAGAUAUGCGGAGGAACACCUGAGGCGAAGGCGGCAUCCUGGAUCGACACUGACGCUGAGGCCCGAAAGCGUGGGGAGCAAACAGGAUUAGAUACCCUGGUAGUCCACGCCCUAAACGAUGUCUACUAGCCGUUGCGGGUAUCGACCCCUGCAGUGGCGCAGCUAACGCGAUAAGUAGACCGCCUGGGGAGUACGGCCGCAAGGUUAAAACUUAAAUGAAUUGACGGGG
rnacentral:rRNA from 1 species